UGUUUACAAAUGCAGCGCUAGCGAAGUAGGCGGAAUUGUAAGUGUGUUGUUUUAAGUAAAGCACUAUUUUUGAAUUUUUUUUUACAGGACCUGUUUUACAAUCCAGCGGACAAUUCAGGAACCUGGAUUCAAACCUCAAAAACUUAAAUAGAAAAAGGCGCACGAAUUUUAACAAAAGUUUAGGUGAACCAAAUACAGAGAGACGUAGGAGCACAUCUGUAGAAUUUGAUACAAGUUUCUUCAAGACUUGUGUCGUUGAAGGAAAUACUGAAGAUAUAAAACAAAAAUUUAAGACAACACUAAAUGAGAGAAUUCGAUAUUGUACCCAACAUCUUGAUGUUUUGAAGGCAUUUCCUAUUUUUCGAUAUGAUCUUUCUCUGAUUUCAUUUGAUUUUGAACUGCGUUACAAUCGUAUAAUAGCCAACAGCCUGAUUACUUCCUGGCGAAGUUAUUUCAAGUUCACAGAGGACGUUUUAAAAGACACUGUUGGCAGCUGUUUAAUACCAGAGUGGUUUAUAGAAAUCGAACCGUUUUUACAUCUGCUGAGGCUACACCUUCAUUUACACUUCGCUCGAAGGAGAAUAAACAACUAAGAGUAAAUUUCGAAUCAACUGUCAAUGAAUGAAUGAAUGAACUGUAAAUUUUCAGAAUGUAA